rnacentral:rRNA from 1 species
GAUGAACGCUGGCGGCGUGCUUAACACAUGCAAGUCGAACGAAGCACUUUAUUUGAUUUCCUUCGGGACUGAUUAUUUUGUGACUGAGUGGCGGACGGGUGAGUAACGCGUGGGUAACCUGCCUUGUACAGGGGGAUAACAGUUGGAAACGGCUGCUAAUACCGCAUAAGCGCACGGCAUCGCAUGAUGCAGUGUGAAAAACUCCGGUGGUAUAAGAUGGACCCGCGUUGGAUUAGCUAGUUGGUGAGGUAACGGCCCACCAAGGCGACGAUCCAUAGCCGACCUGAGAGGGUGACCGGCCACAUUGGGACUGAGACACGGCCCAAACUCCUACGGGAGGCAGCAGUGGGGAAUAUUGCACAAUGGGCGUAAGCCUGAUGCAGCGACGCCGCGUGAGCGAAGAAGUAUUUCGGUAUGUAAAGCUCUAUCAGCAGGGAAGAUAAUGACGGUACCUGACUAAGAAGCACCGGCUAAAUACGUG